UCUUGAUGGCCUGGCUCCUUGAGCAAGGCACAGCGCCGGAGGUGAUCCCUAACGGGUCUAUGAUUAUGAGUGUAAGACACCCUAGUCUGAACAUUCGGGUCAUAGACUCGUUAAAUUUUCUACCGAUGGCGCUGGCCAAGCUACCGGGAUGCUUCGGUCUCACCGAGUUGAAAAAGGGAUACUUUCCCCAUCUCUUUAACUCCCGAGAAAACCAGAGUUAUGUCGGACCGCUACCGGAGCCCCACUAUUACAGCCCGGAUACUAUGAGCACUCCAGCCCGAAAAGCAUUUCUAUCCUGGCACGAAGAACACAAGACGGACAUGUUCAACUUCCAAGAAGAAAUGCUUGCCUAUUGCAGAUAAGACGUGGACAUUCUUCGUCGCUGUUGCCUGGAAUUUCGAGCCCAGUUUUUGGAUGUGGCGGGUGUGGAUCCAUUCCAAUACGUGACCAUUGCAUCAGCCUGUAUGGCAACGUAUCGGAGUGGCCACAUUCAGCCCAACACGCUUGCCAUGGUGCCCACACACGGAUACGUGAACUCCACGAAUUACAGCCCUGAUUCGAUCCGGUGGUUGGACUUUGUUGCUGCUUCGGAAGGCAUAGCCAUUCAACAUGCGUUGAACGGUUCCGGAGAGCACAGAGUCGCCAGAAUCUCGGUAGA